rnacentral:rRNA from 1 species
GACGAACGAUGGCGGCGUGCCUAAUACAUGCAAGUCGAGCGAAGUUUUUCUGGUGCUUGCACUAGAAAAACUUAGCGGCGAACGGGUGAGUAACACGUAAAGAACCUGCCUCAUAGACUGGGACAACUAUUGGAAACGAUAGCUAAUACCGGAUAACAGUAUUUCUCGCAUGAGAGAUAUUUAAAAGUUGGUUAUGCUAACACUAUGAGAUGGCUUUGCGGUGCAUUAGCUAGUUGGUGGGGUAAAGGCCCACCAAGGCGACGAUGCAUAGCCGACCUGAGAGGGUGAUCGGCCACACUGGGACUGAGACACGGCCCAGACUCCUACGGGAGGCAGCAGUAGGGAAUCUUCCGCAAAGGGCGAAAGCCUGACGGAGCAACGCCGCGUGAGUGAAGAAGGAUUUCGGUUCGUAAAGCUCUGUUGUUAGGGAAGAAUGGAUAUGUAGUAACUAUACAUGUAAGAGACGGUACCUAACCAGAAAGCCACGGCUAACUACGUG